UCCGUAGGUGAACCUGCGGAAGGAUCAUUAUCGAAAUAUAGAGGCUGUUGCUGGUCCCUCCUUGGGACAUGUGCACGCUUUUCUUUUCAAUUUUUCCAACUGUGCACGUAUUGUAGACCUGGAGGCUUUUAUCGUUGGAAUAGAUUGAGGACUGCCCUUGUGGCUUUGCCUUGCAUUUCCAGGUCUAUGUUAAAACACAUUUCACACAAAUGAAUGUCGAAAUAUGGAAUAAUAUAUAUACAACUUUCAGCAACGGAUCUCUUGGCUCUCGCAUCGAUGAAGAACGCAGCGAAAUGCGAUAAGUAAUGUGAAUUGCAGAAUUCAGUGAAUCAUCGAAUCUUUGAACGCAUCUUGCGCUCCUUGGUAUUCCGAGGAGCAUGCCUGUUUGAGUGUCAUAAAAGUUCUCAACCGCACUGGUUCUUUCUGGUGUGGCUUGGAUUUGGGGGAUUUGCGGGCUUUUGAAUGCAAGUCGGCUCUCUUGAAAAGGAUUGGUGGUAUCUGAGCCAUAUACUAUGGGUGUGAUAAAUUAUCUAUGCCUUGUCGUAUGCCAGACGAUGCCCCUUAUCAAAGAUGUUGCGGAUAUAUUUUGACCUCAAAUCAGGUAGGACUACCCGCUGAACUUAAGCAUAUCAAUA
rnacentral:rRNA from 1 species